CAAUUGACACUCUUGUUUAUGACGUCAGUAAUCACCCGAGGCUCUUGUCAUGAGCUGCCAAGGCUAUGGAAGCCUCUUGAGUUCACCAACUCCGAUCUUACUUAGACAAGGCCAUAGUCAAAGGGGAAGUUGGUAUUCUGUAUUUGCAGGUGUUUGGUGAUCCUGGGUCCUUGAGCAGUGGCCUUCAGAGGUUUGUCUUAGGCUUUCCCUUUCAUUCUUCAUGGUAGGGGAAGACAAAGGGUCCAGAAUGGACUAAUUUUCUUCCUUUCAGGUCACUAAAGGCCCUGACAAAGGAAUUUGUUUUGGAAGGUAGAAUUUUGUCAAGAAGAAUGCUCUGGAUUGUUUUAAAAUAUUUAGUUCCAACACCAACCCUUUCCCUCCUGAAACAUGUUUGUUUUUCUGUACUCUUCGCUGUGAACACUUGGUGGAGCAGUUGAAGCGAAAACUUAUGAAAGCUCUCGCUUCUCACAGACCAGCCAUUCCAAGAGCGAGGGCCCAUCCUGAACGCUUCUCCUUUGACUCACCUGUGACCUACCUCCCAUAGAGCCGCAGCACACCUGCUUUCCUCCAAGGCCUCAUCAAUUACCCCACUUGUGGGUGUGCCAGGAACUGGAAUGAAUUUGGAACAUCACAGGUGAAGAUCAAUGUAAAUCUCCUUGGCCAACUGUAGAGCACCAGGCAAAUAUAUGGGAUUUCACUUGACUAAAGGAGCAAAUUCCACAUUGAGAAGUCAGCUGAGAUUGGGCAAAUGACACUCUUCUAAACUAUAUGAAAGAAAGAGCAAUUAAUGGAAUACUUGAGUACAUUCAGCACACAGAUUAAAAUUACAUAGCACGGCGUUUGCCACGGAUCUUAAAACAGGCAGAACAAUUGAGGGCUAUUCUUAAUUUGAGAUCAUUUCAUACUUAAGGGCAUCAUCAAUGCUGAGAUGCAAACAGUAAGUAAUUCUCGAAUGCGUGAUUUUCAGUAGUUAUGGUAUGCCACUUUAGCUUGAUUUCAGACUGUGUGUGAAACCCGACACUACCAACAGGCUGCCGGGAAGAAAAAUGAAUGCAUGCUAAGUAAGCCUUGCACAGUUCACAGAACACUCGAGAGAAGGGUUUUGCUCAAGACUUUCUGAAAGCAGAAAUAUUGA